UGGCUCAGGACGAACGCUGGCGGUGUGCUUCAUACAUGCAAGUCAAACGAGGUAGCAAUACCUAGUGGCGGACGGGUGAGUAACGCGUGGGAAUCUGCCUUAAGCAGGGGGAUAGCUGGCCGAAAGGCUAAUUAAUACCGCAUACGCGCAUAUCCCGACAGGGUUAUGCGUGAAAGGAGUAAUCCGGCUUAAGAUGAGCCCGCGUGCGAUUAGCUAGUUGGUGGGGUAAAGGCCCACCAAGGCGACGAUCGCUAGGUGGUCUGAGAGGAUGAUCACCCACAAUGGAACUGAGACACGGUCCAUACUCCUACGGGAGGCAGCAGUAGGGAAUUUUACGCAAUGGGCGAAAGCCUGACGUAGCGACACCGCGUGAGCGAAGAAGCCCUUUGGGGUGUAAAGCUCUGUCAGCUGGAACGAAAAAAAUGACGGUACCAGCAGAGGAAGCAUCGGCUAACUACGUGCCAGCAGCCGCGGUAAGACGUAGGAUGCGAGCGUUGUCCGGAUUUAUUGGGCGUAAAGAGUUCGUAGGCGGUUUGUUAAGUCUGAUGUUAAAGAUCAGGGCCCAACCCUGGGAGUGCAUUGGAUACUGGCAGACUGGAGUGUGGUAGAGGUAAGUGGAAUUCCUGGUGUAGCGGUGAAAUGCGUAGAUAUCAGGAAGAACACCGGUGGCGUAGGCGACUUACUGGGCCAUAACUGACGCUGAGGAACGAAAGCCAGGGGAGCAAAUGGGAUUAGAUACCCCAGUAGUCCUGGCUGUAAACGAUGGAUACUAUGCGUAGCGGGUAUCGACCCCUGCUGUGCCGCAGCUAACGCGAUAAGUAUCCCGCCUGAGUAGUACGGCCGCAAGGUUGAAACUCAAAGGAAUUGACGGGGGCCCGCACAAGCGGUGGAACAUGUGGUUCAAUUCGAAGCAACGCGAAGAACCUUACCAGGGCUGACAUGUCAGGAAGUUUUCGGAACGAAGAAUGGUGCCUCGCAAGAGAACCUGAACACAGGUGGUGC
rnacentral:rRNA from 1 species